UCAUCUCCAUAUCAACAAUUAUGUAAGGGGGACACUAGAAAAUUAAAAAUUUAUAAUGUUCUUAUGCAGUGCUUGGCAGCAGAAGAGGAUUAUAAUUGGGAUGGGGCAUAUAUACAGGACUUCUAGGUAGGUUCUAGUUCUUGACAUGCCAGUAGUUAUAGGAGUGUUUAAUAAUUCAUUAAGUCCUAUAUUUAUUUUGUGUGUUUUCUACACUUGUGCUUUAUUUUCCAACGAAUAGUUUUUUAAAAAGAAUAACAAGGCAGUGUUAUAAACAAUUUUAUGCCAAUAAAUUCAACAACUUAAUUGAAACAAAAUAUUUGAAAAACACAACUUACCAAAACUAACUCAAAAUGAAAUUAAAAGUUGGAAUACCUCUAUAUGUAUCACAGAAAUUGAAUUUAUCAAAACCCUCCCCCACAAAGAAAAUUCCAAGCCCAGAUUAUUUCACUGAUGAAGUCUAUCAAAUACUGAAUAAUGCUGCCAAAGUUACAAAAAUGUUUUCAGAAAACAAAGGAGAAAGAAACACUUCCUAACUUCUUUUAAGAGGCCAGGAUAAUCCUGAAAUAGUAAAACUUAAACAAAAGUUUAUCAGAAAAUUAAAUAGCUAUAUUUCAUUAUAUUGAGGAAGUAUUAAUUUUAGGUACAAUAAUCAUAAUAAAAGUCCUUAUAUUUUAGAGGUACAUAAUAAAACAUUAUAAAUAAAGUGGGAUCAUAUCUAGUUUUGCUUCAAAAUAAUCUUGGUUAGGGGAAGAGUAGUUGAGGGAAUAAAUAAACCAAGAUUGACCAGAGUUGAUAAUUAUUGAAGCUGGGUGAUGGAUUCAUGGAAAUUCAUUAUACUAUUUUCUCUACUAUUGUUUACUCUCAAGAUUUUUCAUACUAUAAAACAAAAAAUAACUACAAAAAGAUUAAAAGACAUUAAAUAUAUAAAACAAUAAGUUCACAACAAUAAUUUAAAAAGAAAGUAAAACAAAACAAAAUCAUUGAACACCAAGUUGCUAGGACAUCAACUUACCAUUUGAAAGGGAUAAAUAAGGGCAGCGAUUUAAACACUUAUCUUGCCAUUCUGGUAUGAACUUUAUUUCAAGGUAACCAAAUGGUCCUGAAGGAUGUAAAAAAAGUUUUUCUGUAGAGAAUUAUGACUAAUAGAAGGAAAAAUAAUAGCAUUAGAGAAUAAUCAUUUUGUAAUUGCUAGUGAAAUACCCAAUUUAUAAAAUGGUUAUAAAUGGAUGGUAAAACAAUUUGGUGAAGAAUUGAUAGAGAACCUUAUGAUACAGGGUCAGCCCAUCACCACCUGAAAAUGGAAGGAGCCUAGGGCAUGAAGUGGGCAGUGAAGGAGAGCUGUCCAACCAAGAACACCUGUGCUGCUGUGUAAGUGAAAAAUAAAUCUUUAUUGUGUUAAAUCACUGUAAUAUGGGUUAAUUCAUUAUAAAGGUGCUUACUUUAGAAGUAUAUCAUUUAUAUAUAUUAAAACACAUAAGCACAUAAUUGUAUUUCAAAGAUACAUACAUAUCCAAACACAUACUGAACACAUUGAAGUGUGUGUCUGGGUCAGGGAGAGGAAUGAGAACAGGGAUCAGGGAUUAAAAGAAUAAAAUCAAACAAAAAGUCACCAUGCUCCGCCAAGCAUGGUUUAACAAGGAAUAAAAAAAUAAUAAUUUAAAAGAGAGACAACUAAUCUACUCUUUGUAGAGAGAGCUCAGGCUAGUGUUAGCCAGUAAUUAUCUUCUACCUUGAGGAGGAACAAGGUAUGAUUCUGGAGAGGAGGCAAUGUUGAAGACACAGCCUGUUGGAACCCUCCAUGACAUUCACCAGGGAAGUCUCAGGUCUGAAAGGUUCCCUAAACUGAGACUUUCUCCCAAGUAUGACCUUCACUCUCAGCUCUCUUUGGUAGUGAUGCAGGAGGCAUUUGCCAUUCUCUAGACAUGGGGCCUGGGCUGGCUAACUCCCCUUGGCACCACCUCUCACUCCAGGCUGAAGGAGGCUUGCUACAGCUGAGAGGCUUGUUCUGGGCCUGGGUACAUCUUCCUGCCCACCCUCCAUCUCUGCUUGAGGAGGACUGAAUAAUGGUCCUUCCUCCAAAGAUGUUCAAGUCCUAAUCUCCAUAAUCUAGGAAUAGUUUACCUUCUGUGGCAAAAAUGACUGGGAAGAUACGGUUAAAGCAGGGAUCUUGAGAUGGGGAGAUGAUUCUGUUAUCACAGUGGGCCCAAUACAAGCACAGGGAUAUAUAAUCACAAUGUAAUCCUCCUGGUAGGAGACGGGAGAAUCAGAGAAAGAUGUAGAAUGGAAGUAGAGGUCAGAAAGGCGGAAACUAUGUUGCUGGCUUUGACGAUGGAGGAAGGGGCCAUGAGUCAAGGAACACAAGCAGCCUCUAGAAGCUAGAAAAGGCAAAUAAAUGGACUGCCCCCUAGAGUCUCCAGAAGAGGUUACCGACACUUUUUAACUUAACCCAAUGAAAUUGAUUUCAGACCUGUGACCUCCAGAACUGUAAGAUAACACAUUUGUGUUGUUUUAAGCCAUUAAGUUUGUGACAGUUUGUCACAGCAGCCAUAGAAAACGUGUACACUGGCCCUGCUGCUGGGCCGCAUAACCUGUUCUCCUAGGAGAGUAAGGUCUGUGAGAAGGGAAUGGGGAAUCAGGGAAGAUUUCCUGGAAGCCUCUGCAGCAGACUGACCUAGGUUCAUAGCAUAGUUCAUUUAUAAUCUAUCUGUUAAUAAUGCAUUAUUUAUAGUGUUGCUGAGAAUGGAAUAAUACUUUAAAUUUCCUAUUCCUAAUUAACCACUUUUUAAAUUAUAAGCCACGUCUCUUCCUGGGUUUACACACAUUUAUUCUUCUACUCUGGUUGCUACUGAACACCCAGUACGUGGCUGGCACCACGCACAGAGCGAGCCUGAGUCCACUGCAAACUCCAAACACUUCUCACCUAAGCUGCCGCUGAGCUCCCGCUCAGUCCAGGGCUCAAGUUCAUUGCCCCAUCCUAAAUGCAGGCUCUCAUACCUGAGCAUUCACAUGGUCUCACGUCUCCUUGAUGGACUCAUCCCAGCAGCAUCACCUCUUACCCUCUCAGAUGCUGCUUCCACAGCUACCAAGAGCAGUCUGGCCUCUGCCUUUACCCUGACCCUGACAAAAGUCUGCAGCCCACUUAGAGGAUAGUAUGCUCCCUCUGAUCAUAUUUUCAAGACUCCCUUUUCAUCUCAUUCUUUUUUGUCUUUCUGCAUCUCUCUCCCUUUUCAUGUUUUCUUCUUUGAGCUCCUAAACAGGUCCUCUUCAUAACCUGGAAAGGUCUAAAC
ensembl:lncRNA